CGAAGGGUGAAUGAGGAUCUGCCAGAGGGAGGGAGACAACAAGGAGAGAGGGACCAGGGCCCCAGACAUCUUCCUCCUAACGGCCAGCCAAGCUCUGCCUUUCCCGGCCCUCCACCCCGCUCUCACAGUUGGGGCCGGCUGGCCCGGGAGACUCUGGCGUCAUACCUGCCACCACAGGAUAGGUCUGGGAUUGAGUUUGAAUUGGGGACAGCAGCACAAUGCUUCAGAACAUAAGCGAGUUUGAGCCUUGGUUCUGUGAUGACCUGCCACAUAGCUUUAGUCUGCUUGGACCUCACCAAGACUUGAUUUUCUUACCUGUAUAACAGGGAUCAUAGAAUCUGCUUUGCAAGGCUGAUGUAAGCAUUAAAUGAGAUUUUUUUUUUUUUGAGACAGAGUCUUGCUUUUUUACCCUGGAUAGAGUACAGUGACAUCAUUGUAGCUCACUGCAACCUCGAACUCCUGGGCUCAAGCGAUCCUCCUGCCUCAGCCUCCCAAGUAUCUGGGACUUGGUAUAGACUGGUUCUCCCAGCCCUCCCCACCCCCACCAUGCCAGAGUGUACACUAUGAGGCGGUUGGCUAAUUUUAUAUUUUUAGUACAGAUGGGGUCUUGCUCUUGUUCAGACUGGCUUCUAACUCCUGAGCUCAAGCAACCUCCCUCCUUGGUCUCCCAGAGUGCUAGGAUUAUGGGCAUGAGCCACUGUGUCCAGCUGAAAUUUGAUAUAUAAAAUGCUUAGCACAAACUGAUAACAACAGAUGUACAAUAAGAAUUGUAAUAAGUAUUAUUAUCUCAUCGGUAUUAUUAUUUUAGAAUUAUGGGAAGAGUCGGAAGCUUCCAAAUUCUUGGUCUCUGUCAUAAUAUUCACAUUCUUUUCAUAGGCUUCUUGGUACACUCUCGACUAUGUCCCUAGUGAAAUAGCAACCAGGAAUGAGGUCACAUGAGGUUUCUGUUGACCACUUUCUCCCUUGUUGACUUUAUAAAAGGGAUGGCUCUGUCUAUGCCCCAUCCUCAGGCCAGUGUGUACUUGUGCUUCUCUCUUCGUUCCCAGGCCAGAGGGCCUUCCCGUGCCCGGGUGAGAGAGCACAGAGUGUUCCUUUGGCAGCACAGUCAGUCACCAAAGGUAGGAAAGGCAAGGGCUGGGACACGAGGGGCCCUUGGUAUAGGCUGGUUCUCCCAGCCACCCCCCCAUGCCAGGGGAGUGAAUGAGUGAGUUACUGAUAGAGCAAGGAAAUGGAUAAUUUAUAGGCACUGUGCUGGGCCUCAGUUUCCUCAUCUGUAGGAUGAACAGUGGGAGCAGUUCAACAGUUUCUAAAUGCUGUGUUGCAGUCAUCAAAUAGGACAUACAUAGAAGCCCCAUAUCUGAAACAGGUGGCAGUAGGCCAGUCUGAAUGAAACCAGGGCCACAAGCCUGAGCUCCACAGCCAUCCAUCUGCUUCCCUGAGCCACCUCUGAACCCUCCUUGGGCCUUGGUUAUUUCUAUGCAUUUGGAGACACUGGUCUAUGUGGUUACCGAGGUCCCCGCUAGCCUUAAGACUCUCUUAUUCCAGGAUUCCCCACAAGUGUUUGCCAGCAGGGCACAGGGGCUCUUAGCCAAGCAGGGUGCUUUGUGGGGCUUAGGGAAUGGAUCCAGGAAAUGGCUCUGGGACCCAGCAGGUGCCCAGGGGCUCAUCAGUAAGGCUUCUUUGCUCUCACAGGGCAGCUGGUGCUUGCACAUGGGUUUUGCAGGUUCACCUCACAUAGAAGGCUUCCUGCAGGCCCACAACUAUGUCCUCUUCCCUCUUGGAGCCAUUUGCUGACUCUUAGAGGAGCACCCAGGCUUUCUCCCCAGGUCUGCUGACGGCUGGCUUCCCCUGCACCCUCGUGGUUGCCACAGUUCAAGCUGAUAAAAUCGCUGACGCAGAUUGCCUGCCCAGCUGUGGGCACUGGCAGAGGGCCAGCAGCCCAGAUGGCCAUUGGCAGUGGUUCAGCUGAUUAUUGGCAUUGUUACUGUGGUCCCCACUCAGAUGUUACAGGCGUAUACACUCACCUCACUCCUAGAUCAAAUGACAGCGUGAGGUGAGCAAAGAGGGGCAGGCAGACACCACCCUAAAGAUGAUCCUACGCUGGUGACUUAGUGGGGUGUGGGCAGGAGGACAUCACCACUGUAGACUGAGGGCUCAGUGGUUCCUUCAGAGUACCAGAGCAUAUGCUGUCCUCUGGCAGGGAUCUCUCAUGUCUCUGUCAACUUUUCACAGAAGCAGCCCAUUAUAAUUCAUUUCACCUGUCCUAAGCACUGGAAAAAACAAUUCCCUAUAGCUUGUGACUGAUUGUUCUGGACUUCUCAACUCAUUCAUUUGUUCAUUCAUUCAGUGGCCCUUUGCUGAGUAUCUGUUAGGAGAGGGCACCACAUUAGAUGCUGAGGAUAAAAGCCACGAGGGAUAUAUUAACUAGCUCAAUGUAAGCAUUCCAAAUUGUAUAUGAAAUCAGCACAUUGUACCCCAUAAAUGCAUUAAUGUAUACAUGAUCUAUGUGUUUAUGACUUAAUUAAAAAAAAAAAGCGCCACCAUGUUUCAAGUCUCAUGAGACUUCCCUGUGUGCCACACCUUCUGGGGGCAAGACAUGAUUGCAAGAGGGACUUUACCUAACAAAUGCAAUCAGUGUAAUCUGGCUUAUUGUACCCUCAAUGAAUCCCCAACAAUAAAAAAAAAAAAGAAAUCUGCAUAUUGAAUGCUCUAUGGGGUGGGGCAGGCCUGGCCAGGGGCUGAGGUACAGAUCACUGAACAGCAGAAAAUCACAGAGCAGCUGUGGGCAAUUCAAAAGGAAUUAUUCUGUUUGGAAGUGGAUGAUGUUUGGAAGCCUGGGGUAGCUAGAAGAUUACUUGCAGGCUCAAGAAGAUAUUGGAUAGAAUCUGGCUUCCUCCUUGACCUGGAAAGGCCAUUCAGACAGGCAGGUGGAGAGGCAAUGGGGGACAGAGGCCAGGACAUCAGCCAGGAGAAUUUGGCUCAGUAAGAGGCAUGAUUUGAACCCAGGUUUCAGUUGGGUGAGGACAGGUGGGGCAGGGAGGAUAUUAAAAAAAAAAAGAAAUAUGCAUAUUUUUACACUUGUCUGCUAACUCAUUAGGCUACACUGUGAGAACCUAUUAGGGGUGGUUUGUGGGACAUGAGAAGCACAGAGGGGGCAAGAGAGGCCACUCAUGUCAGAGGGGCAGGGAUGGAUUCUCCGAGAGGGUGAUGUUGGAGCUGAGUCAUGCUGGCUGUGGUAUUUUUCCAGGUAGAGAAGUGGGAGGAAAGGCACGCAGUGAAGAGGGCACAUGGUGUGCAGGGCAGAGAGGUGUGAAUGAGGGCAGCAUGCUCAGGGGCAUGAGUAAUGCAGGGCCUUGGGGUGUGCAGGGUGAGUGCUGGAGAGGGACAAGGAAGUGGUGGCUGAGGUCAUCAUGUGAAGACUUCGAAGACUUCGUGCUACCACUUUAGACUUGUGAGGCCUGACCCUGCAGUCUGGGGAAGAUGCUGAUGGCAAGGGGGUGGCACUACCAGGUGCGUUGCCCUCCCUGGAAGGGUCAGGCUCAAAGCUCAAAGGUUUGGGGUGAGGGAGGCCAAGAGGGUUGGAAGAUGAGGAUGAUGCCAGGGCAAUAAAUAAAGUGUGUGUUGGGCUUGGAGCUGCAGAAGCCCAUGCCCUGAGCCCCACGAAGUGAAUUCUACCUGCUCUGAUGGCCGGACUACAGGCUUAUUAGGAGGGCACAUCUUGCUCUGACCUCUACCUGCCCAACCCUGCUCACUUC